rnacentral:rRNA from 1 species
UUUUUAAGAGUUUGAUCCUGGCUCAGGACGAACGCUGGCGGCGCGCCUAACACAUGCAAGUCGAACGGAGUUUUUAAGACCAAUCUCUUCGGAGUGCGGUUUUUGAAACUUAGUGGCGGACGGGUGAGUAACACGUGAGCAACCUGCCCUUAAGAGAGGAAUAACGUUUGGAAACGAACGCUAAUGCCUCAUAACAUAACCGGAUGGCAUCGUCUGGUUAUCAAAGGAGCAAUCCGCUUAAGGAUGGGCUCGCGUCCGAUUAGAUAGUUGGUGAGGUAACGGCUCACCAAGUCGACGAUCGGUAGCCGGACUGAGAGGU